UUUUAACGGGGAGGGUAAAUGAACCAUUGACCAGGGGGUUGUGGUGGAUUUUCCACCACCGGCAAUUAUUGUUCUUUCCUAGGCGUUAUCUGGAGGCUGUUUUCUGGCCUGUGUUAUUCGGAGAUCAGUGAGUGACGUCCCAGUUUCCCCACCCUUAGUCUCGAUGGAUUGUUUGCUCGCUGGGGCAGGAGCUGUGCCUGGGCACCAUCAGGCACGACGUGGGUUCUGAUCUCGAUCAAGGUUGCAGCAACAAAAGGAACGUUACCACGGAGUCAAAGUCCAGCUGGCUGCGUGGAUUUAAGGUGGACGUUAGCCCAGGUUCUGAUGUUCAACGUUCAGAACAGUGUCAAGAGCUGGAGUUUUGCGGAAAUGUUUACCUGGUCUAAAGUACCUGUGGAUAGUCUUAUUAGCUGCAUCUAUGCUGCACCCUGCUGAAGUCCGAGCAUCAUGUGGCAAUGAGUUCCACCUGCUAAUUUGCACUGUGUUUAAUUAAAAAAGAAGCAGGU